AGGGGUGAUGUGGAGACUAGUGGAGUUGCUGGAGGAGAGUGCCUGAGACUCUGAAAUGAAGGGCUCGCUAGAAGCGGUGAGAGGACACCUUAAUUUCUGCAGAUCCAAGUUGACAUCAGAUGCAGUCACUUACUGGUGGCAUGACCUGGUGAAGGUGUAACCUUUCUCAACCUCAGAGCUCUUACUCACUGUGUGUUCCUGCAAGACCUCUCUUUCCCUAGGGGAAAACAGAGACAUCUCAUCACAGAUAGCUCUAGGUUUGCCUUGGCCAUGAUGUCCAAGUGGUCUGCUUGGUUCCAUGCCUGCGUCUGAGCUGGCUCUGUGGGAGGUGCCAAGCUGCCUUCGACACUGUGCAUGGCACUUUAAAGCUCUCAAUAAAUAUUUUUCAAGUGAAGUCAAUGAAGCAAGAAAGAAUCUCAACUAGUUUUGAGGUAAUGGUUCAAGAUGACAUUCUUUC
rnacentral:lncRNA from 1 species